AAACGGCCUUUGAAAACACCACACCCGUUUUGUCCACCGCCAUCACCACCUUUUCCCAGAUCAAGGACAAAGUGUAUUACAGACUCACACAUAAGGAAGAGGUGCAUGCCAUGAGGGAGGCGGUGGAGGUGUGGGGGUCCAGCACGCCAUCACAGACAACCUGCAGUUCAUGCUUGGGAUGGGACACACUGGGACAGCCUCGGACCGUUGGUGGGAGCAAGACAAGGCUGUGGCAAUUUUGCCACUCAGACCUGUUGCCAUGUUACUAUUAUUGCACAUCCUAA